rnacentral:rRNA from 1 species
GACGAACGCUGGCGGCGUGCUUAACACAUGCAAGUCGAACGGAAAGGCCCUGCUUUUGUGGGGUGCUCGUGUGGCGAACGGGUGAGUAACACGUGAGUAACCUGCCCUUGACUUUGGGAUAACUUCAGGAAACUGGGGCUAAUACCGGAUAGGAGCUCCUGCUGCAUGGUGGGGGUUGGAAAGGUUCGGCGGUUGGGGAUGGACUCGCGGCUUAUCAGCUUGUUGGUGGGGUAGUGGCUUACCAAGGCUUUGACGGGUAGCCGGCCUGAGAGGGUGACCGGCCACAUUGGGACUGAGAUACGGCCCAGACUCCUACGGGAGGCAGCAGUGGAGAAUAUUGCACAAUGGGCGGAAGCCUGAUGCAGCAACGCCGCGUGCGGGAUGACGGCCUUCGGGUUGUAAACCGCUUUCGCCUGUGACGAAGCGUGAGUGACGGUAAUGGGUAAAGAAGCACCGGCUAACUACGUG